GACGAACGCUGGCGGCGUGCCUAAUACAUGCAAGUAGAACGCUGAAGGAGGAGCUUGCUUCUCUGGAUGAGUUGCGAACGGGUGAGUAACGCGUAUGUAACCUGCCUGGUAGCGGGGGAUAACUAUUGGAAACGAUAGCUAAUACCGCAUAAUAGUAGAUGUCGCAUGACAUUUGCUUAAAAGGUGCAAUUUCAUCGCUACCAGAUGGACCUGCGUUGUAUUAGCUAGUUGGUGAGGUAACGGCUCACCAAGGCAACGAUACAUAGCCGACCUGAGAGGGUGAUCGGCCACACUGGGACUGAGACACGGCCCAGACUCCUACGGGAGGCAGCAGUAGGGAAUCUUCGGCAAUAGACGGAAGUCUGAACGAGCAACGCCGCGUGAGUGAAGAAGGUUUUCGGAUCGUAAAGCUCUGUUGUAAGAGAAGAACGAGUGUGAGAGUGGAAAGUUCACACUGUGACGGUAUCUUACCAGAAAGGGACGGCUAACUACGUG
rnacentral:rRNA from 1 species